CUGCCAGACCUGUUGACUUUGCUGGGUUUUUUUUUGCAAAUGCGCUAUGACAAGAACUGCAUUUUCAUUCUUAUUGUUCGGAGAAAAUGAACAAUGAAAGACACCAAAAAAAAGAAAAUGAAAAUAAGAAGAUGGCUGGGAAUUUAGUGUGGACUUUGCUGUCGUGAGCCAACUAGUCAAUCCGAAUUGCUGUUAGUUUGAGCUGUUUUGCCAAAUGAGAUAACAAUGCAUCAGCACUGUCAAAGGAACAGCAGCAACAUCCUCUCUCACAACCACCAGACAGCAUUCAAAUAAAGGGCGUUGUUAAAUCUAGCAGGUGUUUAACUUCAUCCUUCCACCUACAUUCCCUUGUAAGAGACCCUCGCUCGCAGGUAGAAAGCACCAGAUUGCUAUCCCUCUGGA